AUACAUGAGUUGUGUGAAAGUGAAUUGACGAGAGAAAGCUUCUCAGUUGGAAUAUUUCAUAUGGCACUCUCAUCACUUCUUGCAUUAGGAGAGCUUUUGCUAGCACUUCCGAUUCUGAAAUUGUAUAAAAUGUUUUGUUUUCGGUGGAGUCAGGAUAUUGCUGCUAAUCAUUGUGAGAGUAUAAUCUCUUAUCCAUAAAAAAAAGUAGACAAUCAGCUGACAAUAAUUUAGCCAAAUCUGUGCUCGGAGAGCAAGCUAUAGUGUACUGUGGUGUUAACUACUAUAACAUUAUGAUUCUUAUCACUUUCAUCUGUAAAAGUGUGGUGCUUCACUCUUAAAAUCUUUUGCUGGUAAGUAAAUAUAGUUUUGUAAUUUCGGUAUUGCAGGCUUUUCCCAGUGGACAUGAGACAACAAACUAUCUGUGCCAUGCUCGUCCUUGGAAAGAAAAAUCAAACAGGUGGUUAGGUCCUUUUGCUCAGAGAUAAAGGAGGCUUUAGUGGUAGGAAAGUAUUCUGUUCUUUUCUCAGCGCACUAUCUACUUGUCGACAUGGGGGCUUGGUAGAUGAAGGGAGCAAAUUUUUAAUCCAUUGAAGAAAACAUCAUCUUGUGCCUAAUUUGGAAUACUACGCAUGUAGUGUGGAUCUUUUAGCUCAUGCUGGUUUAUUUGAUGAAACCUUGAGUGUAAUUGAGACAAUGCAUAUGGAACCUGGUGCUGGAGUUUGGGGAGACUUUCUAGAUGCUUGUAAAAUGCAUGAUAUUGUUGAUUUAGCAAAAUUAUAACUAAAAAAUCUUGUCAGACUUGAACCAGACCCUGCUCACUAUGUUUUCUUGUCAUCCAUUUAUGCACAAUCUGGUAGGUGGGGUGAAGCAAGAAGCACGAGAUCACAGAUGACUGACACAUGAUUGAGAAAAACUCCUGGAUGUAGUUUGCUUGAGGAUAAAAGAAUGAUGUACAACAUUUCAAGUGGGUGAAAAAAGCCAACAUACUUCAAAAUCAUGACAAAUUAUUGAGGUUCAGCAAACAAUGCAUGACCACUUGAAGUUGAUAUUGCCUCCGCAUACAGGAAUGCCUACAACAACCUGGUUGCUGUGUUGGCUGCAUUAAAUAACUGAAAUUUUGGUCAAGGCUACUUUGGAUACUCCUCAAGAACCAGGCCCAUAUGCUUUAGAUAUGAGUGGCAUGGGAAAAGGUCAAAUAUGAGUGAAUGGUGAAAGCAUUGGACGCCACUAGCCUGGAUACAGUGCACGUGAUCAUAACUGUGGCACGUGUAAUUAUGCUGGAUAUUACAAUCAGAAUAAAUGCCUAACCAGUUAUGGAGAACCCUUUCAGAAAUGGUGAGAUACGUUUUAUUUUCUUUCAAAUUCUAUACUAUACUUCUAACCAAGCGUUCAACGGGUCAUUGUGUCUAUUGGUCAGGUGGACUCUUAAUGUCUGUUGUGUUGAAUUCUUUUUCUAAUUUCACCGGCUCGAGCUAUCACUUGAAACUGAAUUCGUUUCUCUCUUUUUUUAAAAUUUUGGUGACGAGGAUGCCAUUUGAUGCAAAGCAAGAUUAUUCAGCAGAAUAGUCAAUAGAGGCAGUUGUUUUUCUCUUUUCAUGUGUGUGCUGGGUAAAUCUUGGAUAUCUAUUGAGUUGGACUCAACUUUUACAUAGUAUAGAUUCUCUACCACUUGAUACACACAUGUAUGUAAUUGAUUUAAAUUUCGGGUUUAAAAUUUUCUAUGCGCUUUUACUAGAUUAAGAAACACUGUCAUGUAUGCCUGUUGUCCUUCCAUUUUUCUGUGUUUUGAGAUAUAAUGUCCUAGCAAUGAAGAAACAAUUUUCUA